rnacentral:rRNA from 1 species
AGUGAACAGGCAAGAGCUCAGAUUUGAAAGGCACUUUUGUGCCGUUGUAUUCUGAAGUUAGGGUCCUGAGAAACGAUGCUUAAGUCUUCUGGAAAGGAGCGCCAUGGAGGGUGAUAGCCCCGUCUAGCAUUGACCUCAUAUAGGAUCUUAACAUGGAGUCGAGUUGUUUGGGAAUGCAGCUCAAAUGGGUGGUAUGCUCCAUCUAAAGCUAAAUAUCUGCGAGAGACCGAUAGUAAACAAGUACUGUGAGGGAAAGAUGAAAAGAACUUUGAAAAGAGAGUGAAAAAGUACGUGAAAUUGUUGAAAUGGAAGGGUAGGCCGCUAACCAUGUAGAGCCGUGUUUGGGGGGAAGAUAAAUGCUGUAGAAUGUAGCUCCUCGGAGUAUUAUAGAUGCAGUUCAUAUUCCCACCCGAGCGCGAGGAUCUCAGGUUCUACUAAAUGGUGGUCUACCACCCGUCUUGAA